rnacentral:rRNA from 1 species
UAGGGAAUCUUCCACAAUGGGCGAAAGCCUGAUGGAGCAACGCCGCGUGUGUGAUGAAGGCUUUCGGGUCGUAAAGCACUGUUGUAUGGGAAGAACAGCUAGAGUAGGAAAUGAUUUUAGUUUGACGGUACCAUACCAGAAAGGGACGGCUAAAUACGUGCCAG